GACGAACGCUGGCGGCGUGCUUAACACAUGCAAGUCGAACGAAGUGGCGAACGGGUGAGUAAUACGUGAGUAACCUGCCCUCCUUUUUGGGAUAAGCCUUGGAAACGGGGUCUAAUACCGAAUAAAGGGGGAUGGGCUCGCGGCCUAUCAGCUUGUUGGUGGGGUGAUGGCCUACCAAGGCGGUGACGGGUAGCCGGCCUGAGGGGGUGACACGCCACAUUGGGACUGGUCCACGGCCCAGACGGCGACGGGAGGCAGGAGUGGGGGAUAUUGCACGAUGGGCGAAAGCCUGCAUCAGCCACGUCGCGUGGGGGAUGAAGGCUUUCGGGGUGUAAACAUCUUUCGCGAUCGAACCGGUAGGUGGAGAAGAAGCGCCGGCUAACUACGUGCCAGCCGCCGCGGUAAUAC
rnacentral:rRNA from 1 species